GGAUUGUGGCUCAGUGGUAGAGCGCUCACCUAGCACAUGUAAGGUCCUGAGUUUAAUCCUCAGCACCA
rnacentral:tRNA from 1 species